AACGCGAAGAACCUUACCAAGUCUUGACAUCCCUCUGAAUCCUCUAGAGAUAGAGGCGGCCUUCGGGACAGAGGAGACAGGUGGUGCAUGGUUGUCGUCAGCUCGUGUCGUGAGAUGUUGGGUUAAGUCCCGCAACGAGCGCAACCCUUGAUUUUAGUUGCCAGCACGUAACGGUGGGCACUCUAGAAUGACUGCCGGUGACAAACCGGAGGAAGGCGGGGAUGACGUCAAAUCAUCAUGCCCCUUAUGACUUGGGCUACACACGUACUACAAUGGCCAGUACAACGGGAGGCGAAGGAGCGAUCCGGAGCGAAUCCUAUCAAAGCUGGUCUCAGUUCGGAUUGCAGGCUGCAACCCGCUGCAUGAAGUCGGAAUUGCUAGUAAUCGCGGAUCAGCAUGCCGCGGUGAAUACGUUCCCGGGCCUUGUACACACCGCACGA
rnacentral:rRNA from 1 species